rnacentral:lncRNA from 1 species
CAGAAAGGUCCCACUCCUCUCGGGAGGCAGGGAUGCCCCUAAUUGCUGACACUGAUAUAGCAGAGCUCGGUCUGAUGCUGCUAGGGAGGGAGGUGACGCUCCACAUUCUUAGCGUUUUCCGCUUCAGCUCAUUAUCCCAAGGACAGGCACUGGUGUCAGUCAGCGGCACAGCUCAGGAAGGCUGUGAGAGACCCAUAGCAAGCGGGGGACAGAAAUGACAGAUUUCAGUUCCCACCUCUCAGGACCAGGGAUAGCAGCAAAGCUCGCAGAUUCACACCUCUCCAUAGCUUGUGCCUUUGGGCACCACAGUGGCGGACUGGACAAAUCUGGAACACAUGCAGCUCUCAAGUCAGCCAAUGCGCGAACUAUAGCAGGCUACCCACCAGCCAGAGAUUUCAGCACUGCGCUCAUGGACAGUUCCGUGAGCAGGGACAAUUCUGUGGGCGUGGCUUGUUUCCGCUACCCCCCUGCUACUUUCAGACUUUACAUUCUGUUCCAGUGCCCACUGCAGCGUCAUAGAAUGUCCUCCAUCCUGGCCCCAGGCUCAGCUUGCUACCUGGAGGAUCUGUCUCACCGUCUGUGCUACCUGGGCCACUCCAGCCUGGUCUGCUCCAGGUAUGCU